rnacentral:rRNA from 1 species
GACGAACGCUGGCGGCGUGCCUAAUACAUGCAAGUUGAGCGAUGAAGAUUGGUGCUUGCACCAAUUUGAAGAGCAGCGAACGGGUGAGUAACGCGUGGGGAAUCUGCCUUUGAGCGGGGGACAACAUUUGGAAACGAAUGCUAAUACCGCAUAACAACUUUAAACAUAAGUUUUAAGUUUGAAAGAUGCAAUUGCAUCACUCAAAGAUGAUCCCGCGUUGUAUUAGCUAGUUGGUGAGGUAAAGGCUCACCAAGGCGAUGAUACAUAGCCGACCUGAGAGGGUGAUCGGCCACAUUGGGACUGAGACACGGCCCAAACUCCUACGGGAGGCAGCAGUAGGGAAUCUUCGGCAAUGGACGAAAGUCUGACCGAGCAACGCCGCGUGAGUGAAGAAGGUGUUCGGAUCGUAAAACUCUGUUGGUAGAGAAGAACGUUGGUGAGAGUGGAAAGCUCAUCAAGUGACGGUAACGACCCAGAAAGGGACGGCGAACUACGU